rnacentral:lncRNA from 1 species
GCCGAUGAUAGGUUUACUCAACUUUAACAACUGAUUAUAACCCAACAGCAAUCCAUCAUCAGGCCAGAAGCACAAAUAGGACAGAUAGUGAGUCUACCAUGAGGAACAAAUCAGAUCAAUUAUCGAGUCAAUCGAUAUCGAAUCCCAAGAACAACCCAUCCAAUAUCAACCAACCAUCUGGAUCUAGUCAUCAAUCCAAUGUCCCACCUAAAAAUCUUUAAUUUAAAAAUGUCAAAGCAAUUUCUGAGUUUAGAAGUGGUA